rnacentral:rRNA from 1 species
UACGUAGGAUGCAAGCGUUGUCCGGGUUUAUUGGGUUUAAAGGGUGCGUAGGCGGCCUAUUAAGUUAGUAGUGAAACCGUUCGGCUUAACCGGAUACCCGCCAUUGAUACUGAUAGACUUGAGUGCGACAGAGGGUGUUGGAAUGUGUGGUGUAGCGGUGAAAUGCUUAGAUAUCACGCAGAACACCAAUUGCGAAGGCAGAUGCCUAUGUCGUAACUGACGCUGAGGCACGAAAGCGUGGGGAGCAAACAGG